CCCGCUCAGAAACUCAAAUGAAUUGACGGGACCCCGCACAAGCGGUGGAUCAUGUUGUUUAAUUCGAUGCAACGCGAAGAACCUUACCUGGUCUUGACAUCCCGGAGACCCUUAGGAAACUAGGGGGUGCUUCCAUCUGGAAGAAUCUGGAGACAGGUGCUGCAUGGCUGUCGUCAGCUCGUGUCGUGAGAUGUUGGGUUAAGUCCCGCAACGAGCGCAACCCUUGCCUUUAGUUGCCAGCAGUUCGGCUGGGCACUCUAAAGGGACUGCCGGUGUUAAACCGGAGGAAGGUGGGGAUGACGUCAAGUCCUCAUGGCCUUUAUGACCAGGGCUACACACGUACUACAAUGGCCGAUACAAAGGGCAGCGACACUGCGAGGUGAAGCCAAUCCCGUAAAAUCGGUCUCAGUCCGGAUUGGAGUCUGCAACUCGACUCCAUGAAGUUGGAAUCGCUAGUAAUCGUGGAUCAGCAUGCCACGGUGAAUACGUUCCCGGGCCUU
rnacentral:rRNA from 1 species